rnacentral:rRNA from 1 species
UACGAAGGGGGCUAGCGUUGUUCGGAAUUACUGGGCGUAAAGCGCGCGCAGGCGGUCUUCCAAGUCAGUGGUGAAAGCCCGGAGCUCAACUCCGGAACUGCCAUUGAAACUGUUGGACUUGAGUACGAGAGAGGUGAGUGGAAUUCCCAGUGUAGAGGUGAAAUUCGUAGAUAUUCGGAAGAACACCAGUAGCGAAGGCGGCACUCUGGGCCGGUACUGACGCUGAGGAGCGAAAGCGUGGGAGCGAACAGG